rnacentral:misc_RNA from 1 species
CUGGAUAAUUGUACAUAGAAGUAGCUCUAUAUGUUCUUCGCUUGCUCAAUAUCAUGAUCAAUAAAGACGAUAAUCGUGUUAUCUGCGUAUAUAUUACAAAAUAGAUACUCCUGCAUCCACUUAUAUUGAGUACUGAAAAAAUAGACAAGAGCAGCAGAACUGAAAAACACACACGCAAAUUUCAAUCUACUCCACCGGAUCCGGUUUGGUUGUGUACACAUGCACGCCGAUGGCUACCACCACGAUGGUGAGUAUGCAGAAGUAGAGGAUGGCGUGGACGAGGAUGGCGAGGGCGCUGGUGCCCAUGUUGCCGAACUCCACAACCCUGACCCUCGCCGGCAGCUGGAACAGGAACCCCGGCGACAGCAGGAUGAACAGCACCACCGCCACGAUGAUCGGCCCCCAGUCCGUCGUCACCAUCUCUCUCUCUGUCUCCGUCUCGCUCGCUCACACCUUCGCUGUGUGACUAUGCUUUGCUCACGUCGGUUUGGGGAGUCAAUAAGGGGCCCGGUAAAUACCAUGCUUUGGGAGCAAGGAAGCCAAAGGCGG